GAUGAAGAACGUAGCGAAAUGCGAUAAGUAGUGUGAAUUGCAGAAUUCAGUGAAUCAUCGAAUCUUUGAACGCACAUUGCGCCCCUUGGUAUUCCAUGGGGCAUGCCUGUUCGAGCGUCAUCUACACCCUCAAGCUCUGCUUGGUGUUGGGCGUCUGUCCCGCCUCUGCGCGCGGACUCGCCUCAAAAUCAUUGGCAGCGGUCCUUGCCUCCUCUCGCGCAGCACAUUGCGUUUCUUGAGGGGCGCGGGUCGCGUCCACGAAGCAACAUUUCCGACUUUGACCUCGGAUCAGGUAGGGAUACCCGCUGAACUUAAGCAUAUCAAUAAGCGGAGGA
rnacentral:misc_RNA from 1 species